GAGCUUCCUUAACAAAUAACUCCCGUAAAAAAACUCAUGAGCUUCCUUAACAAAUAACUCCCGUAAAAAACUCUUAUGCACACAUAAUUUGUUUUCUCGAAACAAAAAUCCUUCAUGCGAAAAAAUUCACUUUCUUUUUUCCUUUUUUUCUUUCACUCGAUUCUUCUUUUUCUCGCUCACCCUCUCUUUCUUUUUCUUUUUUCUCAUGCUCAUUUUCUCUUUUCUUUUAUUUCUCUUUUUCUUUUUUCUUUGCCUUCUCAUUUUCUUUUGUCUCUUACUCAUUUUCUGUUGAUUUUGUUACAUCACUCUCUUUGUUUUUUACUUACUCACUUUAUUCUUUCAAGCGAAUUUGAUCAUUGUACACUUGUUUCAGAGUCAUGGGAACAAGUGUUAUUGGCAUUCCGUUGAGCUUGAACAAAUAUCGAUUGGUGAAACCAUCGUGCACCACCCUCUGAUCAUAUUGCCAUGGCCUUCCAAGUAUGACAUGUCUCACGUGCAUUGGAACAACAUCAUAAAGGACUUUAUAACCAUAUUUCCAAGUGGCAAAAGAAACCAACUCUUGUUUCACAACCUUAAUUUCACCACCAUCAUUCAACAACUGCAACUUGUAUGGUUGUGG
rnacentral:lncRNA from 1 species